UACCAGCACCCCGAGUGGUCGGGACGAUUAUUGGGCCUAAAGCAUCCGUAGCCGGUUCUACAAGUCUUCCGUUAAAUCCACCUGCUUAACAGAUGGGCUGCGGAGGAUACUAUAGAGCUAGGAGGCGGGAGAGGCAAGCGGUACUUAGUGGGUAGGGGUAAAAUCCGUUGAUCCAUUGAAGACCACCAGUGGCGAAGGCGGCUUGCCAGAACGCACUCGACGGUGAGGGAUGGAAAG
rnacentral:rRNA from 1 species